rnacentral:rRNA from 1 species
UACGAAGGGGGCUAGCGUUGCUCGGAAUCACUGGGCGUAAAGGGUGCGUAGGCGGGUCUUUAAGUCAGGGGUGAAAUCCUGGAGCUCAACUCCAGAACUGCCUUUGAUACUGAAGAUCUUGAGUUCGGGAGAGGUGAGUGGAACUGCGAGUGUAGAGGUGAAAUUCGUAGAUAUUCGCAAGAACACCAGGGGCGAAGGCGGCUCACUGGCCCGAUACUGACGCUGAGGAGCGAAAGCGUGGGGAGCGAACAGG